rnacentral:rRNA from 1 species
UGCCAGCCGCCGCGGUAAGACGGAGGGUGCAAGCGUUACUCGGAAUUACUGGGCGUAAAGGGUCCGUAGGCGGCCUGGAAAGUUGGAUGUGAAAUCCCACAGCUUAACUGUGGAACUGCGUCCAAAACUAUCAGGCUAGAGGAUGGUAGGGGACAGUGGAACUCCAGGUGGAGCGGUGAAAUGCGUAGAGAUCUGGAGGAACGCCGAUGGCGAAAGCAACUGUCUGGGCCAUUCCUGACCGCUGAGGGACGAAAGCUAGGGGAGCGAACGGGAUUAGAUA